rnacentral:rRNA from 1 species
ACGCUGGCGGCAGGCCUAACACAUGCAAGUCGAGCGGUAGAGAGAAGCUUGCUUCUCUUGAGAGCGGCGGACGGGUGAGUAAUGCCUAGGAAUCUGCCUGGUAGUGGGGGAUAACGUUCGGAAACGGACGCUAAUACCGCAUACGUCCUACGGGAGAAAGCAGGGGACCUUCGGGCCUUGCGCUAUCAGAUGAGCCUAGGUCGGAUUAGCUAGUUGGUGGGGUAAUGGCUCACCAAGGCGACGAUCCGUAACUGGUCUGAGAGGAUGAUCAGUCACACUGGAACUGAGACACGGUCCAGACUCCUACGGGAGGCAGCAGUGGGGAAUAUUGGACAAUGGGCGAAAGCCUGAUCCAGCCAUGCCGCGUGUGUGAAGAAGGUCUUCGGAUUGUAAAGCACUUUAAGUUGGGAGGAAGGGCCAUUACCUAAUACGUGAUGGUUUUGACGUUACCGACAGAAUAAGCACCGGCUAACUCUGUCCCAGCAGCCGCGGUAAUACAGAGGGUGCAAGCGUUAAUCGGAAUUACUGGGCGUAAAGCGCGCGUAGGUGGUUUGUUAAGCUGGAUGUGAAAUCCCCGGGCUCAACCUGGGAACUGCAUUCAAAACUGACUGACUAGAGUAUGGUAGAGGGUGGUGGAAUUUCCUGUGUAGCGGUGAAAUGCGUAGAUAUAGGAAGGAACACCAGUGGCGAAGGCGACCACCUGGACUGAUACUGACACUGAGGUGCGAAAGCGUGGGGAGCAAAC